rnacentral:SRP_RNA from 1 species
GACAGCAAGUGUAGCCCCAGCAAUUGAGUUGGCUGAGGAGGGAGGAUUGCUUGAGCCCAGGAGUUCUAGGAUGUAGUGUACUAUUCUAAUCGGGUGUCCGCACUAAGUUAGACAUCAAUAUGGUGACCACCUGAGAGUAGGGGACCACCAGGUUGCCCAAGGAGGCGUGAACCGGCUCAAGUUGGAAAUGGUGCAGGUGAAAACUCCUGUGCUGAUCAGUAGUGGGACUGCAUCUGUGAAUAGCCACUGCAUUCCAGCCUCGGCAACAUAGAACCCUGUCUUU